UAAGUUAACAAUUUUUCAUUAUAAUAAUUGAUUAAAAUAUGAAAGGAAUCAAGAUCACAGUUCUAUUUUUAUCACUGCAUUUGAAAUCUAUAUCUAAAUGUGAAAUAUAAAAAAAAAAGGUAGAAACAAAUUUAGGCGCAAUCAGUUUAUUACAACUGUCUCAAGGUCAAUUGAACUUUGAUCGAGUAACUGUAAACAAACAACAUGCGAUUCUAAUAAGGUUAUGAUGAAAAAUGAGUUGUAACAAUCGACACGUUUUUAUAAUUUUUAAGUAAUUGCUUAACUUAUUAUCGGUCAUUACGUUUUUCUAACGUAAAAAGAAGAUAUAAAAAAUUACGAACAAUUCAACCGUUAAAGUUUAAAGGAAAUUUUUUUAGG